rnacentral:tRNA from 1 species
GGUCCUAUGGUGUAGUCGGUAACACUGUGGACUUUGAAAGACCACGAGCGCACGACGUCGUGCGCGCGAAACACCCCCUCGAGCAGCCGUCACACGCUGCGUGAGCGCGUAGAUGCUUGGAAAAGUCAUCCACCGCCUCUGGUUCGAUUCCAGGUGGGACCU